rnacentral:rRNA from 1 species
GACGAACGCUGGCGGCGUGCCUAAUACAUGCAAGUAGAACGCUGAAGGAGGAGCUUGCUCUUCUGGAUGAGUUGCGAACGGGUGAGUAACGCGUAGGUAACCUGCCUGGUAGCGGGGGAUAACUAUUGGAAACGAUAGCUAAUACCGCAUAAGAGUAGAUGUUGCAUGACAUUUACUUAAAAGGUGCAAUUGCAUCACUACCAGAUGGACCUGCGUUGUAUUAGCUAGUUGGUGGGGUAACGGCUUACCAAGGCGACGAUACAUAGCCGACCUGAGAGGGUGAUCGGCCACACUGGGACUGAGACACGGCCCAGACUCCUACGGGAGGCAGCAGUAGGGAAUCUUCGGCAAUGGACGGAAGUCUGACCGAGCAACGCCGCGUGAGUGAAGAAGGUUUUCGGAUCGUAAAGCUCUGUUGUAAGAGAAGAGCGAGUGUGAGAGUGGAAAGUUCACACUGUGACGGUAUCUUACCAGAAAGGGACGGCUAACUACGU